UGGNUCAGGACGAACGCUGGCGGCGUGCCUAAUACAUGCAAGUCGAGCGGACCGAACGAGAGCUUGCUCUUGUUUGGUCAGCGGCGGACGGGUGAGUAACACGUGGGCAACCUGUCCGCAAGACCGGGAUAACUCCGGGAAACCGGAGCUAAUACCGGAUAACACCAAAGACCGCAUGGUCUUUGGUUCAAAGGCGGCUUCGGCUGUCACUUGCGGAUGGGCCCGCGGCGCAUUAGCUAGUUGGUGAGGUAACGGCUCCCCAAGGCGACGAUGCGUAGCCGGCUUGAGAGGGUGACCGACCCCCCUGGGACUGAGACCCGGCCCAGACUCCUACGGGAGGCAGCAGUAGGGAAUCUUCCGCAAUGGACGAAAGUCUGACGGAGCGCCGCCGCGUGAGCGAAGAAGGCCUUCGGGUCGUAAAGCUCUGUUGUGAGGGACGAAGGAGCACCGUUUGAAUAAGGCGGCGCGGUGACGGUACCUCACGAGAAAGCCCCGGCUAACUACGUGCCAGCAGCCGCGGUAAUACGUAGGGGGCGAGCGUUGUCCGGAAUUAUUGGGCGUAAAGCGCGCGCAGGCGGUCCUUUAAGUCUGAUGUGAAAGCCCACGGCUCAACCGUGGAGGGUCAUUGGAAACUGGGGGACUUGAGUGCAGGAGAGGAGAGCGGAAUUCCACGUGUNCCGGUGAAAUGCGUAGAGAUGUGGAGGAACACCAGUGGCGAAGGCGGCUCUCUGGCCUGUAACUGACGCUGAGNCGC
rnacentral:rRNA from 1 species